rnacentral:rRNA from 1 species
AACGUAGGAGCCUAGCGUUAUCCGAAUUUACUGGGCGUAAAGCGCGUGCAGGCGGCUUCGUAAGUGGAUUGUGAAAUCUCCCGGCUCAACUGGGAGGGGACGGUCCAGACUGCGAGGCUGGAGGCAGGGAGAGGGAGGUGGAAUUCCCGGUGUAGUGGUGAAAUGCGUAGAGAUCGGGAGGAACACCAGUGGCGAAGGCGACUACCUGGCCUGUUCUUGACGCUGAGGCGCGAAAGCUAGGGUAGCAAACGGG